GGCUACGACAGAAAGAAAAAUAAAUCAACGUGAAUCAGUACGAUUGGCGGAACCUGUGGAGCCGGGGCUGAUAAGUCAGUGACGAAAUGGUAGCCAGACUAACACCGGAAGCGUACAGGAACUUACCAAUGAAUGAACAGUAAUGCGGUUACGGAAUCGGGUUCACUGCUAGUGGUGCCAAGGUGUGAUGGCCAAGUGGCCGACGGAAGGUGGAUAAAACAUCGGAAGCGAAUAGGUUGUUCCUGCCGGCCAUCAUUGCAGGAUGAUCGACAAAAAGGAACCAUUUUCACCCGGGUGAAAGACCAAUUCUAAAGAUCAAGUGGACAAAUUAGUUAGUUAGUUAAGUGACUUGCAUUUUUUUUUUAA